rnacentral:tRNA from 1 species
GGGUGGUUAGUGUAGUGGUUAUCAUACUUGCCUUCCAAGCAUGUGACAUGGGUUCGAUUCCCGUACCACUCA